rnacentral:lncRNA from 1 species
CUCCAGACUGUCAGGUAGAUGAUUAUAACAGUAGUGUUGGUCUCCAGACUGUCAGGAUGAUGAUUAUAACAGUAGUGCUGGUCUCCAGGCUGUCAGGUAGAUGAUUAUAACAGUAGUGUUGGUCUCCAGGCUGUCAGGUAGAUGAUUAUAACAGUAGUGUUGGUCUCCAGACUGUCAGGUAGAUGAUUAUAACAGUAGUGUUGGUCUCCAGACUGUCAGGUAGAUGAUUAUAACAGUAGUGUUGGUCCUUGUCUCCAGGCUGUCAGGUAGAUGAUUAUAACAGUAGUGUUGGUCUCCAGACUGUCAGGUAGAUGAUUAUAACAGUAGUGUUGGUCCUGGUCUCCAG